rnacentral:rRNA from 1 species
UACAGAGGUCUCAAGCGUUGUUCGGAUUCAUUGGGCGUAAAGGGUGCGUAGGCGGCGCGGUAAGUCGGGUGUGAAAUCUUGGAGCUUAACUCCGAAACUGCAUUCGAUACUGCCGUGCUUGAGGACUGGAGAGGAGACUGGAAUUUACGGUGUAGCGGUGAAAUGCGUAGAUAUCGUAAGGAAGACCAGUGGCGAAGGCGGGGCUCUGGACAGUUCCUGACGCUGAGGCACGAAGGCCAGGGGAGCAAACGGG